CCCUUCUACCCCGCCGCCUCCUGACGCCGGGCGUGAUGUCACCACGCCGGCGGCCGCCAUUACAGAGAGCCGAGCUCCGGGACUAGAUCCAGCGGAGCAGGGCUGCGGCCGGCGGCCGGGUAGUGCAGGGAGAGUUCGCGGGUUCGCGCUAGCGCCGAGCAGCCGCCAGCAGCCACACAGGUACCCCGGGAACCGGCGGCGGCGUGUGCGGUGUGGCCCGUGUGCGGGCGGCGGCGCGGGAGUAGCGCGGAGCGGCAGCCGGUUCGGGCGGGUGGCAUCAUGGACGAGAAGGUGUUCACCAAGGAGCUGGACCAAUGGAUCGAGCAGCUGAACGAGUGCAAGCAGCUGUCCGAGUCCCAGGUCAAGAGCCUCUGCGAAAAGGCUAAAGAAAUCCUGACAAAAGAAUCCAAUGUGCAGGAGGUUCGAUGUCCAGUCACUGCCUGUGGAGAUGUACAUGGGCAAUUUCAUGAUCUCAUGGAACUGUUUAGAAUUGGUGGCAAAUCACCAGAUACAAACUACUUGUUUAUGGGAGAUUAUGUUGACAGAGGAUAUUAUUCAGUUGAAACAGUUACUCUGCUUGUAGCUCUCAAGGUUCGUUACCGUGAACGUAUCACCAUUCUUCGAGGAAAUCAUGAGAGCAGACAGAUCACACAAGUAUAUGGUUUCCAUGAUGAAUGUUUAAGGAAAUAUGGAAAUGCAAAUGUUUGGAAAUAUUUUACAGAUCUUUUUGACUAUCUUCCUCUCACUGCCUUGGUGGAUGGGCAGAUAUUCUGUCGACAUGGUGGCCUCUCACCAUCCAUCCAUAGAUACACUGGAUCACAUCAGAGCACUUGAUCGCCUACAAGAAGUUCCUCAUGAGGGUCCAAUGUGUGACUUGCUGUGGUCAGAUCCAGAUGAUCGUGGUGGUUGGGGUAUAUCUCCUCGAGGAGCUGGUUAUACCUUUGGGCAAGACAUUUCCGAAACAUUUAAUCAUGCCAAUGGCCUCACGUUGGUGUCCAGAGCUCACCAGCUGGUGAUGGAGGGAUAUAACUGGUGCCGUGACCGGAAUGUAGUAACGAUUUUCAGUGCUCCAAACUAUUGUUAUCGUUGUGGUAAUCAAGCUGCGAUCAUGGAACUUGAUGAUACUCUAAAAUAUUCUUUCUUGCAGUUUGACCCAGCACCUCGCAGAGGCGAGCCACACGUUACUCGUCGUACUCCAGACUACUUUCUGUAAUGAAAUUUUAAACUUGUACAGUAUUGCCAUGAACCAUAUAUUGGAAAUGGGAAGAGCAACAGUAACUCCAAAGUGUCAGAGAAUAGUUAACAUUCAAAAAACUUGUUUUCACACGGACCAAAAGAUGUGCCAUAUAAAAAUACAAAGCCUCUUGUCAUCAACAGCCGUGACCACUUUAGAAUGAACCAGUUCAUUGCAUGCUGAAGCGACAUUGUUGGUCAAGAAACCAGUUUCUGGCAUAGCGCUAUUUGUAGUUACUUUUGCUUUCUCAGAGAGACUGCAGAUAAUAAGAUGUAAACAUUAACACCUCGUGAAUACAAUUUAACUUCCAUUUAGCUAUAGCUUUACUCAGCAUGACUGUAGAUAAGGAUAGCAGCAAACAAUCAUUGGAGCUUAAUGAACAUUUUUAAAAAAUAAGUACCAAGGCCUCCCCUCUACUUGUGACUUUUGAAAUCAUUUUGUUUAUUUUCAGGGAUACCGUUUAAUUUAAUUGUAUGAUUUGUCUGCACUCAGUUUAUUUCCCUUCUCAAAUCUCAGCCUCAUGUUGUUCUUUGUUAUUGUCAGAACCUGGUGAGUUGUUUUGAACAGAACUGUUUUUUUCCCCUCCUAUAAGACGAUGUUACUGCACAAGAGCCCUGCAGUGUUUUUCAUAAUAAACUUGUGAACUAAAAAAAC